rnacentral:rRNA from 1 species
GGUUGAUCCUGCCAGUAAUCCUAUGCUUGUCUCAAAAAUUAAGCC